CGGGCCGUAGUAUACCGGUCGUACGCAUCCUUCGGGAGGAUGUAGACUGGGUUCGAUUCCCAGCGGCCCGA
rfam:Parcubacteria (Nomurabacteria) bacterium GW2011_GWF2_40_12 TT78_C0015, whole genome shotgun sequence.